rnacentral:rRNA from 1 species
AGUGAACGCUGGCGGUAGGCCUAACACAUGCAAGUCGAACGGCAGCACAGUAAGAGCUUGCUCUUACGGGUGGCGAGUGGCGGACGGGUGAGGAAUACAUCGGAAUCUACUUUUUCGUGGGGGUUAACGUAGGGAAACUUACGCUAAUACCGCAUACGACCUACGGGUGAAAGCAGGGGAUCUUCGGACCUUGCGCGAUUGAAUGAGCCGAUGUCGGAUUAGCUAGUUGGCGGGGUAAAGGCCCACCAAGGCGACGAUCCGUAGCUGGUCUGAGAGGAUGAUCAGCCACACUGGAACUGGAACACGGUCCAGACUCCUACGGGAGGCAGCAGUGGGGAAUAUUGGACAAAGGGCGCAAGCCUGAUCCAGCCAUACCGCGUGGGUGAAGAAGGCCUUCGGGUUGUAAAGCCCUUUUGUUGGGAAAGAAAAGCAGCAGGUUAAUACCCCGCUGUUCUGACGGUACCCAAAGAAUAAGCACCGGCUAACUUCGUG